UCUAUAAUGAAUUAAUUAAAUAUCGAUUCAGGAAGGCAAUGAUAUGGAAAAAAUUUGUUAACGAAGCUGGAUGUGAAUCACCGGUGCGUAUAUUAUUAAAAGUAUUUAAUCAGCUGUUUUUCCUACUUUGGUUUACAAGACUGGUUCAAAUGAAGAUGUCCAACCAAUUUCAAGCAAAUAACAAACAGAGGUUUCUAACCCUUGUUCUGAGUUUCUUGUUUGCAAACUAUGUAGUAUGGCCACUGAUGCUCAUUACGACCCAUUUUUUCCUAAAUUAUCACAACCACUGGAUCUUAGCGCUGCUGAUGGUAUAUUUGGAUCGCUUUUCCAACCGCUGGAGUACCCGGCUUUGCUCAGGAAGCUGAUAUGAGAUUGUGUAGUAGUUGGAAUAAAAGGAUAAAGUUUAAAAUAUAAAGAGGUUUGGUAUUGAUCAAAAGAAUACCUCGCUCGAGGGACCAAAAGUAUGUUAUUGUUCUUACGAUGAAAUGCAACAUGAAAUCAAUGACAUACCUCUAACUAAAUCUUCAGAACAUGCACCUGAAUCUACAGAUGUAUCAAAAUCUAAAAAAAAGCCAAGAAAGAAGCUUAAAAAAACCACUAUCCAGUUCCACAAACCAAAAGUCAAAAGACGAUUAUCAGAUCCACUUUCAAGUUCCCAAGUUGAUAGCCAUUAAGAAGUUAUUUUAAACUAAUAAAAGUUAUAUUUUGAAAUUAA